rnacentral:tRNA from 1 species
UAUAAGAUGCCUGAUAAAAGGAUUGUUUUGAUGAGACAAUAAUGGUAUUCUGCUUACCUCUUAUAA